rnacentral:rRNA from 1 species
GACGAACGCUGGCGGCGUGCUUAACACAUGCAAGUCGAACGAAGUGGCGAACGGGUGAGUAACGCGUAAUCAACCUGACCUUCAGAGGGGGACAACAGUUGGAAACGACUGCUAAUAACGCAUACUGAAGGAGGGGAUUGCGUCUGAUUAGCUAGUUUGCGGGGUAACGGCCCACCAAGUCGAUGAUCCGUAGCCGGUCUGCGAGUUGGAACCGCUAUAUUGGGACUGAGACACGGCCCAGACUCCUACUGGAGGCAUCAGUUGGGAAUCUUCCGCAAUGGACGAAAGUGUUACGGAGCAACGCCGCGUGAGGGAUGACGGCCUGCGGGUUGUAAAGCUCUGUUAUUCGGGACGCGGUACCGGAAUAGAACGCCACGGCUAACUACGUGCCAGCAGCCGCGGUAAUAC